CAUGUAUAUAUAUAUAAUAUGUAAUACAUUCAGAUACCUGGGGAUAAUAUCUACCUGGGAAUGGGUGGAUAAGGCAGUUUAUUCACCAUUGUUAACAUUAAUAACUUGGUAUGAAAUAGUUUAUGCGUCCCUAUCUCAAGGACAGCCAGCUGAAAGGUUUCAGUAAAGAUAAGGAGAGAAAGAUGAAGGAAGAUACAGGUCCUUCCGAAGGAGAGAAGACCGUGUUUGGGGAGUGUGCGUGUUUACAGUGUAUCAGCAGAGAACAAGCUUGGAACCUGGAACAGGAAUCCCAAAUUGGGUCCAAGCUCUGUCCACCACUGGAGAUCAGACUCCCUGGACAAUAUACAGUGAACCUGCUGGGAAGGUCUGCCAGAAGCUGGCCAGCACAAUGACGGUUGCGCCUCCAAGGCAGGUUCUUUACCACUAGGACCACCUGGAAAGCCCUAUUUCAAAGACAUUAACCACCCAAGGAAAUAAGCAGUGGAGCCUCUUGGUGCAGGGAAUGUCAUGUCUGCUGGUCGUCAUCUUCUUAAAAGGAUCUCGCCUUGUGUUGAAGACACAGCAGGGGCUCAGCUCGCUGGCCAAGAAGAACUGAUUCCCAAGACCUGUACUGCUGGUUACGCAGGCUGCUGCUGAGAGAUCAUUUGAGGCAGCCCUGUGCACACCAUUUCUGCCCACAGGUGUGACCCUGGCUGCUGUGAGGGUUGAGAGUGGGUGCCUUCUGUUCCAUUCUACACUGGUUAUUUCAGAUUGUCAGAAGAACUGUACCAAUAUUCCCAAGUAAACCUGG
rnacentral:lncRNA from 1 species